rnacentral:rRNA from 1 species
UACGGGGGGAGCAAGCGUUGUCCGGAAUUAUUGGGCGUAAAGAGCUCGUAGGCGGCUUGUCACGUCGGGUGUGAAAGCCCGGGGCUUAACCCCGGGUCUGCAUUCGAUACGGGCUAGCUAGAGUGCGGUAGGGGAGACUGGAAUUCCUGGUGUAGCGGUGAAAUGCGCAGAUAUCAGGAGGAACACCGGUGGCGAAGGCGGCUAUCUGGCCAUGUACUGACGCUGAGAUACGAAAGCGUGGGGAGCAAACAGG